rnacentral:rRNA from 1 species
AACGAACGCUGGCGGCAGGCUUAACACAUGCAAGUCGAACGCAUCGCAAGAUGAGUGGCAGACGGGUGAGUAACGCGUGGGAACAUACCCUUUUCUACGGAAUAGCUCUGGGAAACUGGGAUUAAUACCGUAUACGCCCUACGGGGGACAGAUUUAUCGGGGAAGGAUUGGCCCGCGUUGGAUUAGCCAGUUGGUGGGGUAAAGGACUACCAAGGCGACGAUCCAUAGCUGGUCUGAGAGGAUGAUCAGCCACAUUGGGACUGAGACACGGCCCAAACUCCUACGGGAGGCAGCAGUGGGGAAUAUUGGACAAUGGGCGCAAGCCUGAUCCAGCCAGGCCGCGUGAGUGAUGAAGGCCUUAGGGUUGUAAAGCUCUUUCACCGAUGAAGAUAAUGACGGUAGUCGGAGAAGAAGCCCCGGCUAACUUCGUGCCAGCCGCCGCGGUAAGAC